rnacentral:rRNA from 1 species
AUGGUGUAUGGUCCCCAAGGGGAUGCUGAUAAGAUUGCAUUCUUGGAGGAGCUAAAGGCGAGAAGAGCGGUCUGCCAUGGCCAAUGGAUGCUCUUAGGAGAUUUCAAUAUGAUCCUUCGUGCCUCGGAGAAGAAUAAUGCCAACAUUAAUCGUCAUAUCAUGAACAAGUUUAGUGCCUUUGUGGAUGAGAUGGAGCUCAAGGAGUUAUAUAUGCAUGGGAGGCGUUUCACUUGGACGAACGACUGGGAUUGUCCGACGCUUACUAAGAUCGACAGGGUGCUUGUUUCUGUUGACUGGGAAUUGGCAAACGCGGAUUGCUUGCUCCAAGCGCUAGCUACCGGUGUGUCGGACCAUGCCCCGCUGCUUUUAUGCACCAACGCGAUCUGCAGCCCAAAACCUAGAUUCCGCUUCGAGCUAUAUUGGACCAAGCUGGAGGGCUUUGAAGAUGUUGUCCGUCAAGCAUGGGUGUGUGAUGAGGCUAUUGUAGACCCUUUCAAGCGCCUGGACGCUCUGCUUCAUAACACAGCCAUAGCGUUGCAGGCGUGGGGACAGAAAAAGACUGGGAACAUUAAGCUCAUGAUGGCUGUGGCUAAAUGGAUUAUCCUAAGACUUGAACAAGCCUAG